CUCUCUGUCCCUCUAGAAUUGGGUUCGCCAGUGAAUUUCCAAUGCGGAUUCCUGUGGUGUGUGAAGUGUGAUGCUGUGAUAAGAAACAAUAGGCAGGCUGCUGGGGGAGGUUUAGUGCAGGGGGGGGGGAUAAACCUGGAGCCUCAUUUGACACAUACGUGAGAGGCAGUAGCAGUGGCGGAGGAAGAGGAGGAGGAGGAGGAGGAGGCAGUGCAGCUCUCACAGCAGUGGUGCGACAGCAGGGCCAUGUGGCAGCGCAGGGGUCCUUCAGGGCGGGGGUGACCUUGCUGAACGCCUGUUUCAAUGAGCCGCCCCGCCGUCUCUGCGCACGACACGGAUGUCGAAAAAACAGGACGCUUGUCUGUUCUUGGCGGCGGCCAAACAAACGUCCAGCCUGGCUGUCCUCAUCUCUCCGCACCCUCAUCUCCGCGGAUGCACCGGUUUGCCAGUGGCACACUGCAUCACUGAGCAGUGACAGGUGGAGGCCAUCCAGAGACCUCUGACAUGCCAGAGACAGAGAGGGGCUGGGAGUGUCCCUCCCUCAGACAGGACUGUUACUAGUGCAUCAAGCCCUGAGACCAAGGAAGCAAAUGGGGCUCAUUUAUAUCGCCAUGGCUACCAACAUAUUUAAACUCACCUUGGGGACACACAAGUCAAGAGUUUAAUGUGGUUAAGCCCCAACAGGCCGAGGGUGAAAUAACUCUUUUUCAAAUCCUCUAAUGCCUCUUAUUGAAAACAGGGGACAUUGCUUGAGGAAAUGUACUAAAACGCCCAGGGGAACUGGAAGUCAUCAAUCACGGCGCCACGCCGGAGCUAUUGUGGUGGCCCUGAGGAACUGGUUUUGCACAGCAGCCAGCGUCUAAUAGUGACACAGAAUGCGAAGGCCCCUCCUCGGGGAGAGACCGAGCACUCGCUCGCUAAGAAAACAGAGCAGGAGAGGGGAU
ensembl:lncRNA